CAUUCCCUACGGACGCAGCAGUGAGGAAUAUUGGUCAAUGGGCGGGAGCCUGAACCAGCCAAGCCGCGUGAGGGAAGAAGGUACAGCGUAUCGUAAACCUCUUUUGUCAGGGAACAAAGGCGGGGACUAGUCCCCGGAUGAGGGUACCUGAAGAAAAAGCAUCGGCUAACUCCGUGCCAGCAGCCGCGGUAAUACGGAGGAUGCGAGCGUUAUCCGGAUUUAUUGGGUUUAAAGGGUGCGCAGGCGGCCUGUUAAGUCAGCGGUAAAAGCCCGGGGCUCAACCCCGGCGAGCCGUUGAAACUGGG
rnacentral:rRNA from 1 species